UACGUAGGUGGCAAGCGUUGUCCGGAAUUACUGGGUGUAAAGGGAGCGCAGGCGGGAAGCCAAGUCAGCUGUGAAAACUACGGGCUUAACUUGUAGACUGCAGUUGAAACUGGUUUUCUUGAGCGAAGUAGAGGUUGGCGGAAUUCCGAGUGUAGCGGUGAAAUGCGUAGAUAUUCGGAGGAACACCGGUGGCGAAGGCGGCCAACUGGGCUUUAACUGACGCUGAGGCUCGAAAGUGUGGGGAGCAAACAGG
rnacentral:rRNA from 1 species